CUUCCUGCGAAAUGCUGCACCGAAAGCAGCGGCUUGUAAACGCAAAAGAAAAGCACUCUCUUCCUUCUCAUCAAGAGGAGAGGACAUCGAUUUCUGACUCCUAUAACUUAGGAAUCAAAUCGGGGUGAACUCGGUGCUGUUUUAUAAAGAAAAAGGGCAAAAUAAGCAUCGACGUCAUAUGUUCAUACUUCCACCAUAGAAGUUGAGACUCCAAGGUACUCUCAAGAUGUUCCUUUAAGUUAUUAAACCUGUUGAAUGCCAUUGUUAUACACUAUGCGCCAAAGCUGUUUGACAAAAUGCCUGAUCAUUUUUUUAGUUCUAAUUGAUUCUUUACCAUACCAAAAACAUUAACAACUUACUGGGAAUUGGUUCCAUUUUUGCAUUUUUAUUGGUUACCACGGGAUUUCUUGGGAAAGUCAUCACCGGUUUUCUACUUUUCAAAGUUCCGAAAAUGUCCCUACCAAGCCUAAUUAUUAACACACCUGGUCCAAGAUUAUUCACGCAAGUUUGGAGCAUACACGAUAACACGACUAUUGAAGGCAAUUCUACGACUAUUGAAGGCAACCUUCCCAUCCUAAACCGAAAAGACACAACCCUUCCAAUGUACUAAUUAUUAAAGACGAGCCCACCGAAAAAACACAACCCUUCCAAUCUACUGAUUAUUAAAGACUCAAAGCCAACCGCCACUUCGCCACCAGACUUUGAGUUCCACACCGUCAUUAUAGGCGAACUCUCAAGCCGUAGCGGCAAUUGCUCAAUUAUUCCAUCCGAAUUUCUAGAGCUGGCCAUGAUUGGAAGUUUUGUUCAUGUCAAAAAGAGUCAGUUGGCUCAGUCCCCCCAUGGAGGAUGGAGUUCGCGGGGCAUGCAAUGAAUCCUAACAAUGGUGUUGAAGUAGGUAAGUUUUGUUUCAUGGGUUUGGGUGAAAUGAAUUCACAGAUUUUCCCGCACUCUUCGUUCUUGGAAGCAAACCUGGGCGCCAACCCAUCCUGGACUUGGCAUAGUAUUUUAGAUAGGAGAGAUGUUCUGUUGGAUGGAGUGUGGUGGAGAGUGGGUAACGGCAGGAGGGUGCGAGUGGCAACUGAUCUGUGGAUUCCAAAUAAGGAGAGCUAUAAACCACUGGGUGUAUCAACAGAGGGAAGAGAGAUACGGGUCAUGACUUGAUUGAUCCGGUAACGUGUCAGUGGAAAGUUGAUGUGGUGCAAUCAGUUUUGCGGGCAGAAGACGCAAAGGUGGUGCUGGCUGUUCCACUACCAUAUUCUGAUGUUGAAGAUUGAUGGGUGUGGCACCACACGACAAAUGGGAUUUAUACAGUCAGUUUGGGGUACAAAUUGGCUCUUGCGAUUCGAAAACGAGGCAGUGGAAGGCAUAGGGAGCAAGGGGAAUCCAGUAUACGGAAUGGCGACAAAAAGGUAUGGAAUAAAGUUUGGUCUCUUUGGAUACCAAAUAAAUUGAAACAUUUUGUGUUUAAGUGUAUCAAUGGGAU